AUAUCUCAAUCACUUGGGUUCUCAUUUUUAAGGCCUUUGAAGCUUUCUUUUUUUAUCUUUUGUAAUAUUUCACUUGUAAUUCUUUUGGAGUGAAAUAAAGUUUGGUUGGUUGAGUCUGAAGAGUAGGCAGAAAACAAAGUUUUGUCGAACCUCAUAAACUUCUGGUUUUCUCUUAUUGUUCUCUCAUUUACUAUUUAUAUAUAUUGUUCUCUCAUUUACUAUUUAUAUAUCUAACUUUAGAUAUAGUAGUCGUGACUUAAUUGCACUUUAUAUAUUUGGUUUCCACAAUAAUUGGAAUUAGAGUCAAGGUUUUAUCUGAGUACGUUUUGUGAUUGCAGCAUAGUCUUAACUUUCACGUUAGAAAAGAAUUACUUUGAUCUUUGAUUUUACUAGCUGAUGAGUAAACAUUACAGACAAGAAAAAUGAAGAUUCUAGAGCCAGCGAUAAGUGAGUCCAUAAUUUGAGAGAUUCAUCAUUUAUUGUGUGUAGUUUAUUGACAAUAUGGGGAGAAAUACCGAUUACAAUCACCCGUUGUAUUUGCAUGCUUCUGAUGCACCUGGUUCCCUUUCAAUCGAAAUUCAACUGAAAGGCAUGAAGUAUUAUAUAAUAUAGAGUCGUGCAAUGAAAUUGGCACUCCUUGGAAGGAAUAAGCUCGAAUUCAUUGAUGGAUCAGUGAAGGGAAAUGAUUAUAAGGGAGAUUUGCAGAGGCGAUGAGAUAGGUGCAAUGCUAUAGUUGUUUUGUGGCUGACGAGUAGUGUACAUUACAACUUACUCAAUGUCAUCCACUGCAGAUCUGAUGCUCUGUUGGUUUGGAAUGACCUAAAGGAGCGGUUUGACAAGGUAAUGCAUGUGUUAACCAAGCAGGACCAUCAAGCUAUGCAGCUAAUGUAGAAGGUAUGUCCUACUCUGGCCAUGAUGGUGUUAUUAAGUGGGUUGUAGAUAGCCACUAAUCACAUGAUAGUUGAUAAAUCUAUGUUACAAACUAGAAAUUCAAUAGAUGAUGCAGGAAAGUACAAUUGGCAAAUGGAAAUUCAACUACUAUUUCUCAUAUAGGAAACUAUCAAUUGUCAGAAAGUGACAUUAUUAAAAAUGUGUUAUGUGUACCAACUUUCAAAUUUAACCUUUUAUCUGUCUCUAAGUUGACAAAGGAAUUGCAGUGUUGUGCUAUGUUCUUCCUUGAUUUCUAUUUGUUUCAGGACCUCUCCUCUGGGAAGGUGGGGGAGAUUGGUAAGGGGCAAAAUGAUUUGUAUGUGAUGUAUUCACAACAUAAUAAAGGAAGUGAUAUGCAAAAAUGGUCUUUGAUAGAACAGAAAGAGGUUGAUGCAGUAACUUGGCACAGAAGGUUUGGACAUGUUCCUAUGAAGGUUUUAAGAAGAUUUCAAGUGUUUUAGAAUUAUUUUUGCUUCAGCAUAGAUAAGAGUGAUGUUUGUCCAUUAGCUAGACAAACUAGAAUUCCUUUUCCAAUAAGUAGCACUAGAAGUACUGAUGUGUUACAAUUAUUACACAUGGAUGUAGGGGUUCUUACAAGACUGUCACAUAUAAUGGAAUGCAGUAGUUUCUUACUAAAA